UAUUAAAGGCAACGCCUGCCCAGUGAAUAAUUAAACGGCCGCGGUACCCUAACCGUGCAAAGGUAGCGUAAUCACUUGUCUAUUAAUUGUAGUCCUGCAUGAAAGGCAUAAUGAGGGCCUAACUGUCUCUUUUAGUAAAUCAAUUAAACUGAUCUCUUAGUACAAAAGCUAAGAUGCCUACAUAAGACCAGAAGACCCUGUGAAGCUUUAACUAAUCUAUUAAACCCUAUAAUAGCUCCUUUAGGUUGGGGCGACCUUGGAAAAAAAAAGAACUUCCAAACAUACAGUAUGCACAUACCAUAUUUACUCAGGCCAACAAGCCUAUAUAAGACCCAGCACAGCUGAUAAUUGAACCAAGUUACUCCAGGGAUAACAGCGCUAUCUUCUUCAAGAGCCCAUAUCAAAAAGAAGGUUUACGACCUCGAUGUUGGAUCAGGACAUCCUAAUGGUGCAACCGCUAUUAAGGGUUCGUUUGUUCAACGAUAAC
rnacentral:rRNA from 1 species